rnacentral:rRNA from 1 species
UACGUAGGGUGCAAGCGUUAAUCGGAAUUACUGGGCGUAAAGCGUGCGCAGGCGGUUGUGCAAGACAGAUGUGAAAUCCCCGGGCUUAACCUGGGAACUGCAUUUGUGACUGCACAGCUGGAGUGCGGCAGAGGGGGAUGGAAUUCCGCGUGUAGCAGUGAAAUGCGUAGAUAUGCGGAGGAACACCGAUGGCGAAGGCAAUCCCCUGGGCCUGCACUGACGCUCAUGCACGAAAGCGUGGGGAGCAACAGG